rnacentral:misc_RNA from 1 species
AAGUUUAUGAUAUUUUUUGCCGUGUCUCAAAGCAGUUUGAUGAACUUGAUAACUUCUAUGGAUGGUGUAAGACUGUAGGCAUUUCACGCUCUUCAGAGUACCCUGAAGUUGAGAAAAUUACACAUAAAAAACUAGACCUCAUGGAUGAGUUUAUAAGAGAUAAGUCUGCCUUGGCCCAAAGCAAGCAAGCUAUAACUUAUGAACCAAAUGUUGAAACUAAAGAAGAAGAGUCUAAAGAACCAGAUGAAAAUGAAGUUGAUAUGAAUGCAAUAAAGGCACUACCACCACCUGAGGAUUUCACUGAGGCACCAGCACAAGAAGUACAACAAGAACCAAUAAAGGAAGAGGAAAAACAGGAAAUAUUAGAAAAAGAAGCUGAUUUGUUGAACUUGGGUGAUGAUGCACUAUCAACAGAAGCAUAUGGAAAUCAAUUGGCCUUAGCUUUGUUUGAUGGUGAUGGUGGUGCAUCGACAGGAUCUGCUGCAACAACUCCAGCAUUGGAAGCAUUUAGUGAUGAUACAGCAGAUUGGGAGACAGCUCUAGUUCAAUCAGCAAGUAAUUUUUCCAAUAAAAGGACAAGUCUUGCAGGUGGCUUUGAUAUGAUGUUGCUUGAUGGUAUGUAUCAACAAGGGGCAACAAAUGCAGCAAUAUCAACUCUAGCUAAUGCAGCUAGUGGAAGUGCUAGCAGUGUUGCUCUUGGAUCAGCUGGAAGGCCAGCAAUGUUAGCACUGCCAGCCCCACCAACAGCAGACAAUAGCAGUACAACAUUGCCCAAUGCAGACCCUUUUGCGGCUUCACUAGCAGUUGCCCCACCACCAUAUGUGCAAAUGUCAGACAUGGAGAAGAAGCAGAAGCUUCUGAUGGAUGAGCAGCUAAUGUGGCAACAAUAUGCGAGAGAUGGGACGCAAGGACAACUUGGAAUAGCAAAGUUACAACCUAAUUCUUACAAUAAUGGGGGUUACACAAGUAGAUACUAAUGGUCCAGUUAUGUGAUUUCAUCAUGUGCUCUAGUUAUUUUUUUUUUCUAAGAUGAUUUUUGUAAUUAAGUUAAUUUCCAAACUUUAGUAUAUAAGUGUCUAAAAAAUCUAUAAAAUUAUUUUCACCCACAAAAAUUGGUAAUCCUAAAUGUGAAGACUGGUUUGCAAAGUAGGGAUUCAUGUACAAUCUAUAACAUUCGAG